CCCAGCCACAGGCGUGCGGUGAAAAUCGGCUCUCAGAUCCCACGUCCUCACCAGCUGACCCCAGCUCACCCCUGGGCAGCCAGCGCAGCAGCCUGCCAUCAGUAGCUUGUGUGCCUUUGGUUAAGUCACACAGGAGGCUCUGGGAAAGAACAACAGUGAGGGGGCCAACGACCAGGAGAACAAGCCUGGCAAAUGGAAGGAGCUGGGAGGUCAGUGGCAAAGAGAAGACAGAGACCCCAGUGACCUCCCAAAUACACAUCUACUCCCCAGCUCAGGAAAACCUUCCAUCAAAGACAACACAGCACUUCCUGUGUCACCAGCCACUAGCGGGAGUUCAACAGAACAGACGCUGACAGCCUGUGAGAUCCUGUGCUGGGCACUGCAGGGCCCAUCUAUGCAGUUCUAGACUCAGGAAUCCCAGAGCUGAAUGGGCCUCAUCCACACUGACCAACGCAGAGCCCGAAGCCCCCUCACGCUUGCCCUCCGGACGGCAGCUGGUGCAGCCCCUAGCCUCCAUGGGAAUUACCUGGGCAGCUCUGAAUAAAUGCUGAUGGGCCACCACCCCAGAGAUUCUGAUUCACUGACCUGGAGGGACCUGCAAGGGACUCUGAAGGCAUCCAUGGAUGAGACCCACUGCCUCUACUCUUCCCUGCCUGAGAUCAUCCACACUCAGAGAUUUAAACACCCACUACAAGCUGAUGGCUCUGAAAUUUCCACCUGACACCUGGACCUCUUUCCUGAGCUUCAGACCUAUCCCUUUAGAUUCUCGCAGACACUAACCAAACACAUCGGGAACCAACUACUGAUCUCCCCACCCCAGGCUGCUCCUCCUCGGCCACCAUGACUCCCAGUAAAUGGGACUUUCAUUCCACAAACCUGAGAGCCAUCUAUGAAUUCCCCCUUUUUCUCUCCCUCAGCCCACGUGGAGGUCCUGUCAAUUCUCCCUUCACUUUUCAAUCCCAGAGCAUCUGCAUUUUCCAAAGAACUUUUCACACAGUUAUAAUCCUGGUAUGCAUAAAACUUUGUAUCCAGCCCUUUUCACUUAGCAGGAAGUUUCCCACAUGCACAG